rnacentral:rRNA from 1 species
GACGAACGCUGGCGGCGUGCCUAAUACAUGCAAGUUGAGCGCUGAAGGUUGGUACUUGUACCAACUGGAUGAGCAGCGAACGGGUGAGUAACGCGUGGGGAAUCUGCCUUUGAGCGGGGGACAACAUUUGGAAACGAAUGCUAAUACCGCAUAAAAACUUUAAACACAAGUUUUAAGUUUGAAAGAUGCAAUUGCAUCACUCAAAGAUGAUCCCGCGUUGUAUUAGCUAGUUGGUGAGGUAAAGGCUCACCAAGGCGAUGAUACAUAGCCGACCUGAGAGGGUGAGAGGCAACAUUGGGAAGGAGACACGGCCCAAAAUACUACGGGAGGCAGCAGUAGGGAAUAUUAGGCAAUGGACGAAAGUCUGACCGAGCAACGCCGCGUGAGUGAAGAAGGUUUUCGGAUCGUAAAACUCUGUUGGUAGAGAAGAACGUUGGUGAGAGUGGAAAGCUCAUCAAGUGACGGUAACUACCCAGAAAGGGACGGCUAACUACGUG